UUGGAUUCGACGCCGAUGAUGAAGCUUGAGGUGCAUGUGGUGAGGGUAUAACGAUCACCUAAAUCCCCGUUGUACAUUUAAAUAGUCGCAAACGACGAAAACUACGCACUAGCGGCUUAAUUGCCCGCUAACC
rnacentral:tmRNA from 12 species